CCGUAGCACAGGUUGGUUUCAGUGGUGAAGACGAGGCUCCUGCCCCGGUAGUUAGUAUGUUCGUAAAGGGUUAUCUGAGGGUUUGUCAGGUCCUCAGUCACUUUCUCCAGAGAAGAAAAGGCGUCGUUCCU